GACGAACGCUGGCGGCGUGCUUAACACAUGCGAGUCGAACGGAAAGGCCCUGCUCUUGUGGUGUGCUCGAUUGGCGAAAGGGUGAGUAAAACGUGAGUAGCCUGCCCUUGACUUUGGGAUAACUUCAGGAAACUGGGGCUAAUACCGGAUAGGAGCUCCUGCUGCAUGGUGGGGGUUGGUAAGAUUCGGCGGUUGGGGAUGGACUCGAGGGUUAUCCGCUUGUUGGUGGGGUAGUGGCUUUCCAAGGUUUUGACGGGUAGCCGGCCUGGGAGGGUGACCGGCCACAUUGCGACUGAGGUACGGCCCAGCCUCCAACGGGAGGCAGCAGUGGGGAAUAUUGCACAGUGGGCGGAAGCCUGAUGCAGCAGCGCCGCGUGCGGGAUGACGGCCUUCGGGUUGUGAACCGAUUUCGCCUGUGCCGAGGCGUGAGUGACGGUAAUGGGUAAAGAAGCACCGGCUAACUACGUG
rnacentral:rRNA from 1 species